AUUGAACGCUGGCGGCAGGCCUAACACAUGCAAGUCGAGCGGCUGAAGGGAGCUUGCCCUUGCAUUCAGCGGCGAACGGGUGAGUAAUGCCUCGGAAUGUGCCUAGUAGUGGGGGAUAACGUCGGGAAACGGGCGCUAAUACCGCAUACGUCCUGAGGGUGAAAGUGGGGGAUCUUCGGACCUCCCGCUAUCGGAUCGGCCUAGGGCGGAUUAGCUAGUUGGUGGGGUAAAGGCCUACCAAGGCGACGAUCCGUAACUGGUCUGAGAGGAUGACAAGUCAACUUGGAAUGAAGACAAGGCCCCAACUCCUAGGGAGGGCAGAAGGGGGAAAUAUGGGCCAAUGGGCGAAAGCGUGUGCCAGCCAUGCCGCGGGUGUAAAGAGGGCCUUCGGUUGGUAAAGCACUUUAGGUUGAGAGGAAGGGAAGGAGCUUAAUACAUUGCUGUAUUGAGGUUACCAAAAGAAUAAGCACCGGUUAAUUUGGU
rnacentral:rRNA from 1 species